rnacentral:rRNA from 1 species
AACGAACGCUGGCGGCGUGCCUAACACAUGCAAGUCGAGCGCGAAAGGUGGCCUUCGGGCCGCCGAGUAGAGCGGCAGACGGGUGAGUAACACGUGGGUAACCUGCCCCUGGGUGGGGGAUAACCACUCGAAAGGGUGGCUAAUACCGCAUGGGGCCCAGAUCUUGCGGGGUCUGGGUCAAAGGUCCUUCGGGGCCGCCCGGGGAGGGGCCCGCGGCCGAUUAGCUAGUAGGUGGGGUAAUGGCCCACCUAGGCGACGAUCGGUAGCUGGUCUGAGAGGAUGAUCAGCCACACUGGUACUGAGACACGGACCAGACUCCUACGGGAGGCAGCAGUGGGGAAUAUUGCGCAAUGGGCGAAAGCCUGACGCAGCGACGCCGCGUGGGUGAUGAAGGCCUUCGGGUCGUAAAGCCCUGUCAGGUGGGAAGAACCCUCCUCUUUAUGGGAGCUGACGGUACCACCAGAGGAAGCACCGGCUAACUCCGUGCCAGCAGCCGCGGUAACACGGAGGGUGCGAGCGUUGUUCGGAAUUACUGGGCGUAAAGGGCGCGUAGGCGGCCUGUCGCGUCUGAUGUGAAAGCCCGGGGCUCAACCCCGGAAGGGCAUCGGAAACGGGCAGGCUUGAGUCCGGAAGAGGAGGGCAGAAUUCCCGGUGUAGGGGUGAAAUCCGUAGAUAUCGGGAGGAAAACCAGUGGCGAAGGCGGCCCUCUGGGACGAGACUGACGCUGAGGCGCGAAAGCGUGGGGAGCAAACAGGAUUAGAGACCCUGGUAGUCCACGCCGUAAACGAUGGGUGCUUGGU